UUUCAAAUGUUGGUUUAUCUUUGCAGGCACCUGAAUUCUUUACAACUGCUCCAGCCCUUGUGAUACCAAAAGCUAUUUCAAAUGCUAGUUUAGAUGCUUCUCAGAUUGAUUACUAUGAAAUAAAUGAAGCGUUUUCUGUUGUAGCUCUAGCCAAUCAAAAGCUGCUUGGUCUUAAUCCUGAAAGCCUUAACGUACAUGGUGGGGCUGUAUCAUUGGGACACCCAUUAGGAUGCAGUGGAGCUCGUAUCUUGGUCACAUUGUUAGGGGUAA